GGCUCAAUGGUCUAGUUGGUACGAUACUCCCUUCGGGUAAACAUUUAUCCAGCUUCGAAAAAUCGAGCUAAAUAUGGGAGUGGUCCCGGGUUCGACUCCCGGUUGAGCCC